rnacentral:rRNA from 1 species
GUGGCGAACGGGUGCGUAACGCGUAUGCAACCUACCUUCAUCAGGGGGAUAGCCCGGAGAAAUUCGGAUUAACACCGCAUAAAAACACAGUACGGCAUCGUACAAUGUUCAAAUAUUAAUAGGAUGAAGAUGGGCAUGCGUGUCAUUAGCUAGUUGGUAAGGUAACGGCUUACCAAGGCGACGAUGACUAGGGGAUCUGAGAGGAUGACCCCCCACACUGGUACUGAGACACGGACCAGACUCCUACGGGAGGCAGCAGUAAGGAAUAUUGGUCAAUGGAGGCAACUCUGAACCAGCCAUGCCGCGUGCAGGAAGACUGCCCUAUGGGUUGUAAACUGCUUUUAUACGGGAAUAAACCUUGAUUCGUGAAUCGAGCUGAAUGUACCGUAAGAAUAAGGAUCGGCUAACUCCGUGCCAGCAGCCGCGGUAAUACGGAGGAUCCAAGCGUUAUCCGGAUUUAUUGGGUUUAAAGGGAGCGUAGGCGGCCAUUUAAGUCAGAGGUGAAAACUUGCAGCUCAACUGUAAGCUUGCCUUUGAUACUGAGUGGCUUGAAUAAACUUGAGGUAGGCGGAAUGUGACAAGUAGCGGUGAAAUGCAUAGAUAUGUCACAGAACACCAAUUGCGAAGGCAGCUUACUAAGGUUUAAUUGACGCUGAGGCUCGAAAGCGUGGGGAUCAAACAGGAUUAGAUACCCUGGUAGUCCACGCCCUAAACGAUGAUAACUCGAUGUUGGCGAUAUACAGUCAGCGUCCAAGCGAAAGCGUUAAGUUAUCCACCUGGGGAGUACGCCCGCAAGGGUGAAACUCAAAGGAAUUGACGGGGGCCCGCACAAGCGGAGGAG